CAAAGGUGAGCCAGUACAGGAUGGACCCGCGUCUGAUUAGCUAGUUGGUAAGGUAACGGCUCACCAAGGCGACGAUCAGUAGCCGACCUGAGAGGGUGAUCGGCCACAUUGGAACUGAGACACGGUCCAAACUCCUACGGGAGGCAGCAGUGGGGAAUAUUGCACAAUGGGCGAAAGCCUGAUGCAGCAACGCCGCGUGAGUGAUGAAGGCCUUCGGGUCGUAAAACUCUGUCCUCAAGGAAGAUAAUGACGGUACUUGAGGAGGAAGCCCCGGCUAACUACGUGCCAGCAGCCGCGGUAAUACGUAGGGGGCUAGCGUUAUCCGGAUUUACUGGGCGUAAAGGGUGCGUAGGCGGUCUUUCAAGUCAGGAGUGAAAGGCUACGGCUCAACCGUAGUAAGCUCUUGAAACUGGGAGACUUGAGUGCAGGAGAGGAGAGUGGAAUUCCUAGUGUAGCGGUGAAAUGCGUAGAUAUUAGGAGGAACACCAGUUGCGAAGGCGGCUCUCUGGACUGUAACUGACGCUGAGGCACGAAAGCGUGGGGAGCAAACAGGAUUAGAUACCCUGGUAGUCCACGCUGUAAACGAUGAGUACUAGGUGUCGGGGGUUACCCCCUUCG
rnacentral:rRNA from 1 species